rnacentral:rRNA from 1 species
ACGCUGGCGGCAGGCCUAACACAUGCAAGUCGAGCGGUAGAGAGAAGCUUGCUUCUCUUGAGAGCGGCGGACGGGUGAGUAAUGCCUAGGAAUCUGCCUGGUAGUGGGGGAUAACGUUCGGAAACGGACGCUAAUACCGCAUACGUCCUACGAGAGAAAGCAGGGGACCUUCGGGCCUUGCGCUAUCAGAUGAGCCUAGGUCGGAUUAGCUAGUUGGUGGGGUAAUGGCUCACCAAGGCGACGAUCCGUAACUGGUCUGAGAGGAUGAUCAGUCACACUGGAACUGAGACACGGUCCAGACUCCUACGGGAGGCAGCAGUGGGGAAUAUUGGACAAUGGGCGAAAGCCUGAUCCAGCCAUGCCGCGUGUGUGAAGAAGGUCUUCGGAUUGUAAAGCACUUUAAGUUGGGAGGAAGGGUUGUAGAUUAAUACUCUGCAAUUUUGACGUUACCGACAGAAUAAGCACCGGCUAACUCUGUGCCAGCAGCCGCGGUAAUACAGAGGGUGCAAGCGUUAAUCGGAAUUACUGGGCGUAAAGCGCGCGUAGGUGGUUAGUUAAGUUGGAUGUGAAAUCCCCGGGCUCAACCUGGGAACUGCAUUCAAAACUGACUGACUAGAGUAUGGUAGAGGGUGGUGGAAUUUCCUGUGUAGCGGUGAAAUGCGUAGAUAUAGGAAGGAACACCAGUGGCGAAGGCGACCACCUGGACUGAUACUGACACUGAGGUGCGAAAGCGUGGGGAGCAAAC